rnacentral:rRNA from 1 species
AGCGAACGCUGGCGGCAGGCCUAACACAUGCAAGUCGAACGAACUCUUCGGAGUUAGUGGCGGACGGGUGAGUAACACGUGGGAACGUGCCUUUUGGUUCGGAAUAACUCAGGGAAACUUGUGCUAAUACCGAAUGUGCCCUUCGGGGGAAAGAUUUAUCGCCAUUAGAGCGGCCCGCGUCUGAUUAGCUAGUUGGUGAGGUAACGGCUCACCAAGGCGACGAUCAGUAGCUGGUCUGAGAGGAUGACCAGCCACACUGGGACUGAGACACGGCCCAGACUCCUACGAGAGGCAGCAGUGGGGAAUCUUGCGCAAUGGGCGAAAGCCUGACGCAGCCAUGCCGCGUGAAUGAUGAAGGUCUUAGGAUUGUAAAAUUCUUUCACCGGGGACGAUAAUGACGGUACCCGGAGAAGAAGCCCCGGCUAACUUCGUG